GAUGAACGCUGGCGGCGUGCCUAAUACAUGCAAGUCGAGCGAACGGACGAGAAGCUUGCUUCUCUGAUGUUAGCGGCGGACGGGUGAGUAACACGUGGAUAACCUACCUAUAAGACUGGGAUAACUUCGGGAAACCGGAGCUAAUACCGGAUAAUAUUUUGAACCGCAUGGUUCAAAAGUGAAAGACGGUCUUGCUGUCACUUAUAGAUGGAUCCGCGCUGCAUUAGCUAGUUGGUAAGGUAACGGCUUACCAAGGCAACGAUGCAUAGCCGACCUGAGAGGGUGAUCGGCCACACGGGAACUGAGACACGGUCCAGACUCCUACGGGAGGCAGCAGUAGGGAAUCUUCCGCAAUGGGCGAAAGCCUGACGGAGCAACGCCGCGCGAGUGAUGAAGGUCUUCGGAUCGUAAAACUCUGUUAUUAGGGAAGAACAUAUGUGUAAGUAACUGUGCACAUCUUGACGGUACCUAAUCAGAAAGCCACGGCUAACUACGUG
rnacentral:rRNA from 1 species